UGGGGAAUAUUGGGCAAUGGGCGCAAGCCUGACCCAGCAACGCCGCGUGAGCGAUGAAGGUCUUCGGAUUGUAAAGCUCUUUUGCAGGGGACGAAGUAUGACGGUACCCUGUGAAUAAGCCCCGGCAAACUACGUGCCAGCAGCCGCGGUAAUACGUAGGGGGCAAGCGUUGUCCGGAAUUACUGGGCGUAAAGGGAGUGUAGACGGCUUACCAAGUUAUGAGUGAAAGCCCGCGGCUCAACCGCGGAACUGCUCAUAAAACUGGUUCGCUAGAGUGCAGGAGAGGUGAGCGGAAUUCCUAGUGUAGCGGUGGAAUGCGUAGAUAUUAGGAGGAACACCAGAGGCGAAGGCGGCUCACUGGACUGUAACUGACGUUGAGGCUCGAAAGCGUGGGGAGCAAACAGG
rnacentral:rRNA from 1 species